UCGAUGGGUUGAGCGGGCACGUCGAUGACCUGGAGAGGCAAGUGUCGGACCUGAUGACCCGGACGAGGCUGGAGGAGUUCGAAUCGCACCGCCGCGAGUGGCCGCUUCGCUGAGGCUCCCUGGCACGAGAAGAGUCAACGUAGAACGCUGCGCAAUGCACGCACGAGAAGUCUGACCUUAGAGCUGCGAUGAUUAGUCGAUGUAUCUCGAUUCACUUGAGUAAUCCAUAAUACACAACGUUUGUAAAUGUUGUAGCUUUGCUCUCCAGCACACCGGUGUUGCUGUACUAGUCAUGAAUUGGCACGUCCUGUUUAUGUGACAAACCUUACUUAUUGGCUGUGUCGGGUGGCGGCGGCGGCGAGUUUAACCCACAAAACCUCGAUUUUUGGAUGACAUUUGGUCGCGAAAGCCUACGACGUGUUCAACUCAAUUGAGUAAAACAAGAAAUGACAAGAGAA